AGUAACAGCGGCAGCUCCUGUCUGCUCCCCUUUGCCAAAAGCCCUAAUUGGCAAUGCUCUGGGGCGGGGAGCCCCUCCGCCUCUCCGAGAACAAUGGCGUGACGCCGCUGACAGCUGGAAUGUACAUUCUGGUGUUUGCAUGCUUCACAACACGAGUCACUCCGACACACCAGACUUCAUUAACACGAGAAUAUAAAUAAGCUUAUUCCUUCUGCUCAACAAGGAGAUGCCUUCUCUCUCCAGUCCGUCAUUCAUAUGUGCGCGGACAUAUCUGAUGGGCAUAGUGUGUGUGCGUGUGUGUACACACAUCCCCACACACAGAGUAAAAAGACAAUAGAAAGAGGGUCUGGGGGGCUUCCUGGCGCAAUCCCGGGGGCAGAAAAGCCGGAACCAGCAGGAAACUUCAAUUAUAGAGGGACAGAGAAGAUCUUGAGAGACCCGCAGCUUCGGGAGUAGGGAAAGGAAAAGAAAGGCAGGCGGUAAUAGCGGAACGGUUUUGGAGUUCUCCCUGGUUUAAGUCCCUAAAGCUACCAUUCUGAUCCAAAUAAGCAUAUGGGGAAAAGGCUCAGGUGCCUCCUCUAAGAUUGAAGGGAGAGAAAAAAGGAGAUCUUCUCUGAAAUGUCUCUGAAAAUGUUCCUUUGGAAAACCAUGCCUGUUCUCCAGGGGCCCAGGAGAGCCAGACAUCCAUAUUCCAUUCUCAAAGCUAUAGGAUGCUGGGAA